rnacentral:lncRNA from 1 species
GUUUCCUAGAGUCUCGGUGUUUCUACUUCUUAGCACCCUUUCUUGCCACCCUUUGUCCUGUGGAAGGCCGGAGACAUCAGCGGCUGCAAUUGUGCUACUCGCUGCUCGGCAUGGAAGGGUCAGGUACCGCAGUUCAGCGCUCUUGGCCCCGCAGGUCCUCGGGCAUCUCUGUGCCCCGUCCUGUACAUUGUUAUGCUCCGACUUCCUAGGGUCGAAGUUACUGCCUGCUGGGUUUUAGAAGCUAUUGCUUUACGUCUGAGAAAAAAAUCCCAGAAAGGUAAGAUGACUUGCCCAAGGUUAUAGCGUGCGUGGAAAACAGAGCUCCAUUUACAAGCCUGGUCGCUGUGCUUCAUUCCUCUUGUCAUCACCUCCUGUCAGUUUAUCCAAGCUCCAAAAGUGAAGUUGUUUUAUCUUUUGCCUCCCAAGAUUUAUUUAAUAGUCUCAUUUCUGUUUCCUUCGUUUAUUCUUUAGUUCGUUAUUGGGAAACUUUACAGCGUGCCAGUAGUGGUUAUAAACCCCGAAUAAGAGCCUUGUCAUCACGGAGCGUGUAGUUCCAGCAAGUAGACAAUUCAAGUGCUGUGUAGUGAAAUAAUUGCUGAGAUAGUGUACGGAAGCAGAGAGUACACUGUUCAUCCAACAAGUAAUUGCUGGAAGAGCAAAUAGGGACACCUAACCAUUGCAGGGGCGACUCAGGAUAUCCUUUCUGGAAGAAAAGUCUGAUGAAAUCUGAAGGACCACUGGUUGAAGUUAGCCAGGAAAGAAAAGGUGUUGCGGCAUACUUGGUUUUGCUAUGACAAAAAAUAAUAUCCAAGGAUAUUUUGGCACUAACGGCGUGAUCUGUAGCAAGAAAGUUGAGUGGUCUGAACUGUUGAGACUUCCAAGGAGACUUCAGAGAACCAAGACAGUGUAAAGGAAAACAGGAAAAAAGACUUGUUAGACAUUAUUAAGGGCUCGAAAGUUGAAUCGAGCACAGUAAAUGUACAAACAACAAAGCCACCCAGCAGCAGUCCACUUAAAAGCUACAACUGGCGGGCCUCAAAGAGCUGCAGAACAUGCUCCAAAGAAGAGAAAUGAGCCCCUGAGUCCUGAGUUGGUGGCAGCUGCAUCUGCUGCCCUCUUUUGA